rnacentral:rRNA from 1 species
AUGGCAUCCGGCGAGACAGGCGGCUCCCAAGCAGGGAAUGCAGCGGCGCUGGCCUCUCCUCUCCCUGUCUGCCGCUGUCCUGUGUCGUCACUGCCGCUGUUGUCCUGCGUCGUCACUGAUGUCCCCAAGUGCUUCUCUCCACAAAUGGUGCCACCAUGUCCAGAUCAAGUCAAGCGCCAGACAUAUGGAGGAAGAUUAGAUAGUAAUUCCCAUAUGAAUUUGAACGUACAAUUCAUAGACGUCCUUCAAUUGCAUUACAAUGAUGACAUGUUUGUUGUUGUUCAUAUUUCUGACAGGAAAAUAGAACACGUGCACUUAACUUGUUUGAGGAAAUUCCAUCUCGAAACAAGAUUUGAUUAG